rnacentral:rRNA from 1 species
GACGUAGGGCGCGAGCGUUGUCCGGAUUUAUUGGGCGUAAAGAGCUCGUAGGCGGCUUGUUGCGUCGACUGUGAAAACCCGCAGCUUAACUGCGGGCCUGCAGUUGAUACGGGCAGGCUAGAGUUCGGUAGGGGAGACUGGAAUUCCUGGUGUAGCGGUGAAAUGCGCAGAUAUCAGGAAGAACACCAAUGGCGAAAGCAGCUUUCUGGGACGGUACUGACGCUGAGACGCGAAAGCGUGGGGAGCGAACAGG